rnacentral:piRNA from 1 species
GACAUUUGAAACAAAAUUGUGAACAAGGUA